rnacentral:rRNA from 1 species
GACGUAGGGGUGCAAGCGUUGUCCGGAUUUAUUGGGCGUAAAGAGUUCGUAGGCGGUUUGUUAAGUCUGGUGUUAAAGACUGGGGCUCAACCCCAGCAUGGCAUUGGAUACUGGCAGGCUAGAGUGCGGUAGAGGUCUCGGGAAUUCCAGGUGUAGCGGUGAAAUGCGCAGAUAUCAGGAGGAACACCGGUGGCGAAGGCGGGUCUCUGGGCCGAUACUGACGCUGAGGAGCGAAAGCGUGGGGAGCGAACAGG